rnacentral:rRNA from 1 species
GACGAACGCUGGCGGCGUGCCUAAUACAUGCAAGUAGAACGCUGAAGGAGGAGCUUGCUUCGCUGGAUGAGUUGCGAACGGGUGAGUAACGCGUAGGUAACCUGCCUGGUAGCGGGGGAUAACUACUGGAAACGAUAGCUAAUACCGCAUAAGAGUAGAUGUUGCAUGACAUUUGCUUAAAAGGUGCAAUUGCAUCACUACCAGAUGGACCUGCGUUGUAUUAGCUAGUUGGUGGGGCAACGGCUUACCAAGGCGACGAUACAUAGCCGACCUGGGAGGGUGGUCUGCCACACUCGGACUGAGACACGGCCGAGACACCUGCGGGAGGUGGCAGUAGGGACUCUUCGGCCAUGGACGGGAGUCUGACCGAGCAACGCCGCGUGAGUGAAGGCGGUGUUCUGAUCGUAAAGCUCUGUUGUCAGAGAAGAACGCGUGUGAGAGUGGAAAGUUCCCACUGUGACGGUAACUUAACAGCAAGUGACGACUAACUACGUG